AACACGAACCUAACAAUCGCUUUUGAGUCACUGAUCUGGCCAUGCCCUUCCUCAAAGAUAUGGAAAGUUGAAUCCUCGUCGUCGUGUACCAACAAGCGUUAUGUAACGACUGGUGGUAGCUCUAGCAGGAAAGAUAGCUUUUUUAGGAUUCAGAAAUAUGGAAACGAACAAAAUACUUACAAGCUCGUUCAUUACCAGAGUUACUCGGCUAUAAACGGUAUUAAGAGUGUUGGUACCACCACCAGCUUUUACGGUGACCCCAUACUUGUUCUUAACGAUGAUGAUGACGAUAACAAUGCCUUUCCAGUUAAGUUCCGUAAGGUUGAGACAUCCACGGAUAAUUUAUUUCAGAAUUUUAGUCUAAGAAUGCUUCUGAGACUGGUGUUUAAUAAGUUGUAUUAUGGAAAAUAAUGGGUGGAAACAGCAUAUCAACCAACUAAAUGUAAUGAAAAGUUAUAUAUGUAUUUGUCAUUUAUGAAGUGUCCUUUUCUUAGAAACCAAACUCAAGCAAAGCAUACGCCAAAUCUGCGCAUAACCUCUUCUUAUUCCAGAUAUCUCAAUCUUUGAUUGCUCGAUCAUACUUAAUAAGGAAUUUAUCAGUUAACACAAGUACAAUCUCUAUGCGUUGAUUAAUCUUUCGGUGAAAAAGCUAUAGAAACGCGUUUUUAGGCUAAUAAAUUGAAGAAAUGAAGCAAUUCCUAACCGGGCUUUUU
rnacentral:lncRNA from 1 species